GACUUACCCUCUGGAAACAAAUACUGUGGAGAGUCCUAGAAACAUUUGUGGUUGUUCUUCCAGAAUAAAAAACCAGGCAUCAGCCAUCUGCAUCAAGGAACAUUUCUAAAAAUGUACUCUUAACUUAAAAGGUAGCUAUUAUUUAAUUUGGACAUUUUUUUCAUGCUCUUUAAAAACACUUGUGGUGAUUUGAAGCAUUUUAUUUACAUGGUGCAUUAGGAACACAGCAUUCUGCCAAAAAUCUAGCCUCUAGCUAGCAUGUUCUGUGCCAGCUGCUCCAGUUUGCCUAAGAAACGAGCACCAUGUGACCUUAGUUAAAAAAUAAAUGGUACUCAUCUAUUUUAAUGGUUCUUUGAAAUUAUCAAAACCUGACUCGACUUCUCCAGGUAUCAGACUUAUUAGCUCAAGUUCAGUCACUUCUGACAUAUACAGUUUGUUCCCUGGGCUAUUCCUCCCCCUCAGAUGUUUCCACCAAGUCUGCUCUUUCAUACUUUUGUUCAUUUGAUUAGUUUCCAUAGUGACACUCCCUUGUGAAGUUUAGAGGUCCCUCCCAGCAGGUUCUCUUAAAUGAAGCUGCUGAUCACCAGGUUUUUGUGCCAGGUUAACAAGACAAACUCAGCCUUAUUUCAAAGCCUAUUUUCAUGGAAUGCCUUCUGUGUCAUUUUAUUUUAUAUUUCAUUUUGAAUUCACUUGAGAAGCUUUUUCAGCUUGGGGAGGCCAUUUG